UACGGACCGGACAAACGUUAUUCGGAAUUACUGGGCUUAAAGCGUGCGUAGGCGGCCUGACAAGUUGGGUGUGAAAUCCCUUGGCUCAACCAAGGAAUGGCGCUCAAUACUGCCAGGCUUGAGAAAGAUAGGGGUAAGCGGAACUGAUGGUGGAGCGGUGAAAUGCGUUGAUAUCAUCAGGAACACCGGUGGCGAAAGCGGCUUACUGGGUCUUUACUGACGCUGAGGCACGAAAGCUAGGGGAGCGAACGGG
rnacentral:rRNA from 1 species